AUGGUAGGAUAGAGGCCUACCAUGGUGGUAACGGGUAACGGGGUGUUAGGGCACGACACCGGAGAGGGAGCCUGAGAAACGGCUACCACAUCCAAGGAAGGCAGCAGGCGCGCAAAUUACCCAAUCCCGACACGGGGAGGUAGUGACAAUAAAUAACAAUACAGGGUUCUUUGAAUCUUGUAAUUGGAAUGAGUACAAUUUAAAUCUCUUAACGAGGAACAAUUGGAGGGCAAGUCUGGUGCCAGCAGCCGCGGUAAUUCCAGCUCCAAUAGCGUAUAUNAAAGUUGUUGCAGUUAAAAAGCUCGUAGUUGAAUUUCGGGGUCAGUAGGUCGGUCGUGCCACUGGUAUGAACUGGUUUUACUGAUUCCUCCCUCUUGAAGAACUGUAAUGCCAUUAAUUUGGUGUUGCAGGGAAUCAGGACUGUUACUUUGAAAAAAUUAGAGUGUUUAAAGCAGGCUUUAGCUUGAAUACAUUAGCAUGGAAUAAUGAAAUAGGACGUUUGAUCCUAUUUUGUUGGUUUCUAGGAUUGACGUAAUGAUUAAUAGGGAUAGUUGGGGGCAUUAGUAUUCAAUUGUCAGAGGUGAAAUUCUUGGAUUUAUUGAAGACUAACUACUGCGGAAGCAUUUGCCAAGGAUGUUUUCAUUAAUCAAGAACGAAAGUUAGGGGAUCGAAGACGAUCAGAUACCGUCGUAGUCUUAACCAUAAACUAUGCCGACUAGGGAUCGGAUGAUGUUAAUUUUUUAAUGACUCAUUCGGCGCCUUACGGGAAACCAAAGUGUUUGGG
rnacentral:rRNA from 1 species